rnacentral:rRNA from 1 species
UACGUAGGGCGCGAACGUUGUCCGGAAUUAUUGGGCGUAAAGAGCUCGUAGGCGGCUUGUCGCGUCGGAUGUGAAAGCCCGGGGCUUAACCCCGGGUCUGCAUUCGAUACGGGCAGGCUAGAGUUCGGUAGGGGAGAUCGGAAUUCCUGGUGUAGCGGUGAAAUGCGCAGAUAUCAGGAGGAACACCGGUGGCGAAGGCGGAUCUCUGGGCCGAUACUGACGCUGAGGAGCGAAAGCGUGGGGAGCGAACAGG